rnacentral:rRNA from 1 species
GACGAACGCUGGCGGCGUGCUUAACACAUGCAAGUCGAACGGAAAGGCCCUGCUUUUGUGGGGUGCUCGAGUGGCGAACGGGUGAGUAACACGUGAGUAACCUGCCCUUGACUUUGGGAUAACUUCAGGAAACUGGGGCUAAUACCGGAUAGGAGCUCCUGCUGCAUGGUGGGGGUUGGAAAGUUUCGGCGGUUGGGGAUGGACUCGCGGCUUAUCAGCUUGUUGGUGGGGUAGUGGCUUACCAAGGCUUUGACGGGUAGCCGGCCUGAGAAGGUGACCGGCCACAUUGGGACUGAGAUACGGCCCAGACUCCUACGGGAGGCAGCAGUGGGGAAUAUUGCACAAUGGGCGGAAGCCUGAUGCAGCAACGCCGCGUGCGGGAUGACGGCCUUCGGGUUGUAAACCGCUUUCGCCUGUGACGAAGCGUGAGUGACGGUAAUGGGUAAAGGAGCACCGGCUAACUACGUG